AUUGAACGCUGGCGGCAUGCCUUACACAUGCAAGUCGAACGGCAGCGGGGGAGAAGCUUGCUUUUCCUGCCGGCGAGUGGCGAACGGGUGAGUAAUACAUCGGAACGUGCCCUGUAGUGGGGGAUAACUAGUCGAAAGAUUAGCUAAUACCGCAUACGACCUGAGGGUGAAAGUGGGGGACCGCAAGGCCUCAUGCUAUAGGAGCGGCCGAUGUCUGAUUAGCUAGUUGGUGGGGGAAAGGCCUACCAAGGCGACGAUCAGUAGCUGGGCUGAGAGGAUGGUCAGCCACACUGGGACUGAGACACGGCCCAGACUCCUACGGGAGGCAGCAGUGGGGAAUAUUGGACAAUGGGCGAAAGCCUGAUCCAGCAAUGCCGCGUGAGUGAUGAAGGCCUUCGGGUUGUAAAGCACUUUUGUCCGGAAAGAAAUGGCUCUGGUUAAUGCCUGGGGUCGAUGACGGUACCGGAAGAAUAAGGACCGGCUAACUACGUGCCAGCCGCCGCAGUAA
rnacentral:rRNA from 1 species